rnacentral:rRNA from 1 species
AUGGCGACGACCACCAUGUCCCUUUCCUCGUCGUCCUUUGCCAGUAAGAUGGUGAAGAACAUACCGUCGUCAGCUCUCUUCGGUGAGGCCCACGUCACCAUGUGCAAGAUUGCAGCGAAGGCGAAACAGGUUUCCUCUCACAGCCCAUGGUACGGUGCCGACCGCGUGCUCUACCUCGGCCCACUCUCUGGUGAGCCCCCCAGCUACCUCACCGGUGAGUUCCCAGGCGAUUAUGGUUGGGACAUAGCCGGACUUUCGUCUGACCCCGAGACCUUCUCCAAGAAUCGGGAGCUAGAAGUGAUCCAUUGUCGUUGGGCCAUGCUUGGGGCACUUGGUUGCGUCUUCCCUGAGUUGCUCGCCCGCAAUGGCGUCAAGUUUGGCGAGGCCGUUUGGUUCAAGGCCGGCUCCCAGAUCUUUAGUGAGGGUGGUCUUGACUACCUCGGCAAUCCCAGCCUUGUGCACGCGCAAAGCAUCCUAGCUGUUUGGGCAUGCCAAGUCGUGCUCAUGGGUGCGGUCGAGGGGUACCGCGUUGCCGGCGGCCCACUUGGCGAGAUCGUCGACCCACUAUACCCAGGAGGCAGCUUCAACCCUCUCGGCCUAGCCGACGAUCCCGAGGCAUUCGCCGAGCUCAAGGUGAAGGAGAUUAAGAAUGGUCGCCUCGCCAUGUUCUCAAUGUUCGGCUUCUUUGUCCAAGCUAUCGUCACGGGCAAGGGACCACUAGAGAACCUCACUGACCACAUCUCUGACCCCGUCAACAACAACGCCUGGGCGUUCGCCACCAACUUUGUCCCCGGCAAGUAA